UGGGAAUUUGGACAAUGGGCGAAAGCCUGAUCCAGCAAUGCCGCGUGUGUGAAGAAGGCCUUCGGGUUGUAAAGCACUUUUGUCCGGAAAGAAAUCCUUGGCUCUAAUACAGUCGGGGGAUGACGGUACCGGAAGAAUAAGCACCGGCUAACUACGUGCCAGCAGCCGCGGUAAUACGUAGGGUGCAAGCGUUAAUCGGAAUUACUGGGCGUAAAGCGUGCGCAGGCGGUUUGCUAAGACCGAUGUGAAAUCCCCGGGCGUCAACCUGGGAACUGCAUUGGUGACUGGCAGGCUAGAGUAUGGCAGAGGGGGGUAGAAUUCCACGUGUAGCAGUGAAAUGCGUAGAGAUGUGGAGGAAUACCGAUGGCGAAGGCAGCCCCCUGGGCCAAUACUGACGCUCAUGCACGAAAGCGUGGGGAGCAAACAGGAUUAGAUACCCUGGUAGUCCACGCCCUAAAACGAUGUCAACUAGUUGUUGGGGAUUCAUUUCCUUAGUAACGUAGCUAACGCGUGAAGUUGACCGCCUGGGGAGUACGGUCGCAAGAUUAAAACUUAAAGGAAUUGACGGGGUCAUAGCUGUUUCCU
rnacentral:rRNA from 1 species